rnacentral:rRNA from 1 species
UACGGAGGGGGCUAGCGUUGUUCGGAAUUACUGGGCGUAAAGCGCACGUAGGCGGACUGUUAAGUCGGGGGUGAAAGCCCGAGGCUCAACCUCGGAACUGCCUUCGAUACUGCGGGUCUCGAGUCCGGGAGAGGUGAGUGGAAUUCCUAGUGUAGAGGUGAAAUUCGUAGAUAUUAGGAAGAACACCAGUGGCGAAGGCGGCUCACUGGCCCGGUACUGACGCUGAGGCGCGAAAGCGUGGGGAGCAAACAGG